UCUGCUUUAUGCAGGAUAUUAGGGCUUUCUUUCUCCCAUAGAGGGCAGUCUGCAGAUAGUAACUGCUGCCACUCACCAACAGCCCUGUCAGACCUUGCCUAUGGGACAUAGGUUAGCAUACCCUUCAUCUGUUUCUGAUGUUCAGUCACUCAAGCUAGAGGAAACUACAUUCCUACUGGGACUCUACUAUGGAUAUCUGGCUCCUGUAUUGGAUAAUUUUUAGUCUCAUGGAAACAGGUCAUACAGGACCCAAAGUACUCCAGAUCCCAAGUCAUCAAGUAAUAGAUAUGGGACAGAUGGUGACCCUCAGUUGUGACCCAGUUUCUAAUCACCUAUAUUUCUAUUGGUAUAAACAGAUCUUAGGACAGCAGAUAGAGUUUCUGGUUUCUUUCUACAGUGGUAAAGUCCUGGAGAAGUCUAAACUAUUUAAGGAUCAGUUUUUAGUUGAAAGGCCAGAUGGUUCAUAUUUCACUCUGAAAAUCCAACCCACAACACUGGAGGACUCAGCCGUGUACUUCUGUGCCAGCAGCUUAGCCACAGCCUUGCAAAAACACCAUCUUCCUGUUCACAAACUCUCAUGUGUCUGCCUCUUCCCUAACACCCUAUCUUCCGCAGAAGGAAGUCUACAUGACUAUUAUUUUAAUUGCAGUUGUUUUAACAAAUAA